rnacentral:lncRNA from 1 species
UAUAAUGGUUUGAUUUUUCUAAAUGAUACAAAACAAAUGAGGCGAGAGAGAAUAAAUAUGUUUCUAAAUUUUUUUCAAUUCCAUCAAACAUUUCAUUACCCUCGUUUGUCAAGACUGGAAGUAAUCCAUCUAAAUUGCAUAUCUUCAGUUUGAAGGAGGACACCAGUUGUUGGGAACCUAUAAGUUUUCUCAAAAAACAUUCUAUUUUCACUG